rfam:Myotis brandtii contig195460, whole genome shotgun sequence.
GGUGGUUCUCGGGUGACACACUCCCCAGAAUUGGGCUCCUUCCUCUCUGGUUCUAGGUGCAUCACCCGAGAACCACA